GGGUACACGAGUGGCGAACGGGUGAGUAACACGUGGGUGACCUGCCCUGCACUUCGGGAUAAGCCUGGGAAACUGGGUCUAAUACCGGAUAGGACCGCACCGUGAGGGUGUGGUGGAAAGUUUUUUCGGUGUGGGAUGGGCCCGCGGCCUAUCAGCUUGUUGGUGGGGUAAUGGCCUACCAAGGCGGCGACGGGUAGCCGGCCUGAGAGGGUGGACGGCCACAUUGGGACUGAGACACGGCCCAGACUCCUACGGGAGGCAGCAGUGGGGAAUAUUGCACAAUGGGCGGAAGCCUGAUGCAGCGACGCCGCGUGGGGGAUGACGGCCUUCGGGUUGUAAACUCCUUUCACCAUCGACGAAGGGUUUCUGACGGUAGAUGGAGAAGAAGCACCGGCUAACUACGUGCCAGCAGCCGCGGUAAUACGUAGGGUGCGAGCGUUGUCCGGAAUUACUGGGCGUAAAGAGCUCGUAGGUGGUUUGUCGCGUCGUCUGUGAAAUUCCGGGGCUUAACUCCGGGCGUGCAGGCGAUACGGGCAUAACUUGAGUACUGUAGGGGAGACUGGAAUUCCUGGUGUAGCGGUGAAAUGCGCAGAUAUCAGGAGGAACACCGGUGGCGAAGGCGGGUCUCUGGGCAGUAACUGACGCUGAGGAGCGAAAGCAUGGGGAGCGAACAGGAUUAGAUACCCUGGUAGUCCAUGCCGUAAACGGUGGGCGCUAGGUGUGGGUUUCCUUCCACGGGAUCCGUGCCGUAGCUACGCAUUAAGCGCCCCGCCUGGGGAGUACGCCGCAAGGUAA
rnacentral:rRNA from 1 species